UGAUAAUGUGUCUAAUAUUAGUGGAUCACUGUUAAGUGUUUCCAAAUCGUAGCCUAGUUAGUCUAACAUAAUAUAUUUCACUAAUGUUAUAAAAACACAUGACGUGUUUAUAAUUUUGUAGAAUAACGUCUACACAAAAAUAUUUCUAUUUAGGAUGCUAUUUUCAUUUAAGUCUGUAAGUGUAGUAGUGUUGGUGACGUUUGAAUAUUUAUUAUGCACAGUGCGCACAGAAACUUUCAGUAAAAUGACUGCACCACCAAAACACAAGGGUGUAUUCUUUAAGAAACAAACAGGGUUAAAUAAAACUAUACCAUACAGUGAAAAUCCAGGAAAGGAGAUGAUUGUUUUUGAUGUUGAUGGAACUUUAUGGCCGUACCAAAUUGACUCAGAUCCUAUAUUUCAAGAUCCAUUUAUUAUUAAAGGUUUAGACAACGGCACCGUGUUUGUCGGAAACCAAACCAUUCAUAUUUUCCCAGAAGUGGAAGAAACUUUGCUGGAACUCAUUGAGAAAGGUUACGUGUUGGCUGCAGUUUCCAUGACUAACAGCACCCAUAAAACGAUGGCAGUAUUGAAUGCUUUUGACCUUACAAAGCACUUCAAGCACAUGGAAAUGGCUCCAGGGCCUGAUAAGUUAUCGUUAGUGACAGAGAUAUGCACUAGAACUGGACUUUUACUUGAAGAUGUGCUUUACUUUGAAAAAGAUCCGGGAGAAGUUUUUGAUAUGCUUUGGAGGCAUGUUAUUGUGUAUUGUAUCGAUGAGAACGGAUUGACCAAAGACAGAGCAAGAAAGGGGCUUUUCAUAUUUGACAUAAGGCCUCGGAAAGAGAGGCAGCAGCAUUUAAAUAAUGCAAAAAGAGAAUUCACUGAUAAAAAUAAAAGCCGACCUGCCAAAGAACGAGAUGGCACCGAACUAGAGGGCAUGAUCCAUAAUGGAUCAGCAAUUGAUUACCAAUAAAAUCAUCUCUAGACUUAUACACGAAUUUUUAUUAAAGGAAAGCUUUUGAGUGCUAUGAAAAAUUGCAAGAAAAGUCUAACAUUGAUUAUGACUGCAUUUUGUUUUUGAUGUACACGUAUACCAGAAGUGAGAUCCACGGCCUGCUAGACUUGGACGUGUCCACACUUCCGGUGGGAGUGGAUGGUGUAUCCCGGGGUCUAG
rnacentral:misc_RNA from 1 species